UACGUAGGGUGCAAGCGUUGUCCGGAAUUAUUGGGCGUAAAGAGCUCGUAGGCGGUUUGUCGCGUCGAAUGUGAAAUCCCGGGGCUCAACCCCGGGUCUGCAUUCGAUACGGGCAGACUAGAGUUCGGUGGGGGAGUCUGGAAUUCCUGGUGUAGCGGUGAAAUGCGCAGAUAUCAGGAGGAACACCGGUGGCGAAGGCGGGACUCUGGGCCGAUACUGACGCUGAGACGCGAAAGCGUGGGGAGCGAACAGG
rnacentral:rRNA from 1 species